rnacentral:tRNA from 1 species
UAUUAGAUUGUAAAUCUAAAGAUACGG